rnacentral:rRNA from 1 species
CAGUAGUGAGGAAAGGUGUAUAGUUAAUAGCAUUACACUGUGACGUUAGCUACAGAAGAAGCACCGGCAAACUCCGUGCCAGCAGCCGCGGUAAUACGGAGGGUGCGAGCGUUAAUCGGAAUUACUGGGCGUAAAGCGCGCGUAGGCGGUUAGUUUAAGUUGAGGUGUGAAAUCCCCUGGGCUCAACCUAGGAACUGCAUUUCAAACUGGAUAACUUGAGUAUGUCAGAGGGUAGUUGGAAUUUCCCCGUGUAGCAGUGAAAUGCGUAGAUAUGGGAAGGAACAUCAGUGGCGAAGGCGAAUACCUGGGAUAAUACUGACGCUGAGGUGCGAAAGCGUGGGGAGCAAACGGGAUUAGAUACCCCUGGUAG